rnacentral:rRNA from 1 species
UUUUUGGUGGUAAAAGGGCCAACCGGGUAUUUAAUGCGGGACCCCCCCCCCCCCCUACCCNGGAAUAGCUCCUGAAACGGGUGAUAAUGCGGGAGCUCCCAGUUGAUCGCAUGUCUUUCUGGGAAAGCUUUCGCGGUAUGGGAUGGGGUCGCGUCNUAUCAGCUGNACGGCGGGGUAACGGCCACCCGUGGCUUCGACGGGUAGCCGCCUNGAGAGGGCGACCGGCCACAUUGGGACUGAGAUACGGCCCAGACUCNUACGGGAGGCAGCAGUGGGGAAUAUUGCACAAUGGGCGCAAGCCUGAUGCAGCGACGCCGCGUGAGGGAUGGAGGCCUUCGGGUUGUAAACCUCUUUUAUCGGGGAGCAAGCGAGAGUGAGUUUACCCGUUGAAUAAGCACCGGCUAACUACGUGCCAGCAGCCGCGGUAAUACGUAGGGUGCAAGCGUUAUCCGGAAUUAUUGGGCGUAAAGGGCUCGUAGGCGGUUCGUCGCGUCCGGUGUGAAAGUCCAUCGCUUAACGGUGGAUCCGCGCCGGGUACGGGCGGGCUUGAGUGCGGUAGGGGAGACUGGAAUUCCCGGUGUAACGGUGGAAUGUGUAGAUAUCGGGAAGAACACCAAUGGCGAAGGCAGGUCUCUGGGCCGUUACUGACGCUGAGGAGCGAAAGCGUGGGGAGCGAACAGGAUUAGAUACCCUGGUAGUCCACGCCGUAAACGGUGGAUGCUGGAUGUGGGGCCCGUUCCACGGGUUCCGUGUCGGAGCUAACGCGUUAAGCAUCCCGCCUGGGGAGUACGGCCGCAAGGCUAAAACUCAAAGAAAUUGACGGGGGCCCGCACAAGCGGCGGAGCAUGCGGAUUAAUUCGAUGCAACGCGAAGAACCUUACCUGGGCUUGACAUGUUCCCGACGGUCGUAGAGAUACGGCUUCCCUUCGGGGCGGGUUCACAGGUGGUGCAUGGUCGUCGUCAGCUCGUGUCGUGAGAUGUUGGGUUAAGUCCCGCAACGAGCGCAACCCUCGCCCCGUGUUGCCAGCGGAUUUGCCG